AAUCUUCCGCAAUGGGCGAAAGCCUGACGGAGCGACGCCGCGUGAGGGAAGAAGGCCUUCGGGUCGUAAACCUCUGUCGUGAGGGAAGAAGGGAGUGACGGUACCUCACAAGGAAGCCCCGGCUAACUACGUGCCAGCAGCCGCGGUAAUACGUAGGGGGCGAGCGUUGUCCGGAAUUACUGGGCGUAAAGGGAGCGUAGGCGGCUACUUAAGUCCCGUGUGAAAUGCUUCGGCUUAACCGAGGAGGGCCACGGGAAACUGGAUAGCUUGAGUACCGGAGAGGGUAGUGGAAUUCCCAGUGUAGCGGUGGAAUGCGUAGAUAUUGGGAGGAACACCAGUGGCGAAGGCGACUACCUGGACGAAAACUGACGCUGAGGCACGAAAGCUAGGGGAGCAAAC
rnacentral:rRNA from 1 species